UACGAAGGGUGCAAGCGUUACUCGGAAUUACUGGGCGUAAAGCGUGCGUAGGUGGUUUGUUAAGUCUGCUGUGGAAGCCCCGGGCUCAACCUGGGAAUGGCAGUGGAUACUGGCAAGCUAGAGUGCGGUAGAGGGGUGUGGAAUUCCCGGUGUAGCGGUGAAAUGCGUAGAGAUCGGGAGGAACACCAGUGGCGAAGGCGGCACCCUGGACCAGCACUGACACUGAGGCACGAAAGCGUGGGGAGCAAACAGG
rnacentral:rRNA from 1 species